CCUGUCCAACGUUAAUCGGGGCAGGGUAAGUCGACCCCUAAGGCGAGGCCGAAAGGCGUAGUCGAUGGGAAACGGGUUAAUAUUCCCGUACUUCUUACAAUUGCGAUGGGGGGACGGAGAAGGCUAGGUGGGCCUGGCGACGGUUGUCCAGGUUCAAGUGCGUAGGCUUAAGAGUUAGGUAAAUCCGGCUCUUUUUAAGGCUGAGACACGACGUCGAGCACCUACGGGUGUGAAGUCAUUGAUGCCAUGCUUCCAGGAAAAGCCUCUAAGCUUCAGAUUGUAAGGAAUCGUACCCCAAACCGACACAGGUGGUCGGGUAGAGAAUACCAAGGCGCUUGAGAGAACUCGGGUGAAGGAACUAGGCAAAAUGGUACCGUAACUUCGGGAGAAGGUACGCUCUUGAUGGUGAAGUCCCUCGCGGAUGGAGCUGACGAGAGUCGCAGAUACCAGGUGGCUGCAACUGUUUAUUAAAAACACAGCACUGUGCAAAAUCGUAAGAUGACGUAUACGGUGUGACGCCUGCCCGGUGCCGGAAGGUUAAUUGAUGGGGUUAGACUUCGGUCGAAGCUCUUGAUCGAAGCCCCGGUAAACGGCGGCCGUAACUAUAACGGUCCUAAGGUAGCGAAAUUCCUUGUCGGGUAAGUUCCGACCUGCACGAAUGGCGUAAUGAUGGCCACGCUGUCUCCACCCGAGACUCAGUGAAAUUGAAAUCGCUGUGAAGAUGCAGUGUACCCGCGGCUAGACGGAAAGACCCCGUGAACCUUUACUACAGCUUGGCACUGAACAUUGACCCUACAUGUGUAGGAUAGGUGGGAGGCUUUGAAGCACGUACGCCAGUAUGUGUGGAGCCGUCCUUGAAAUACCACCCUUGUAGUGUUGAUGUUCUAACGUUGACCCCUAAUCGGGGUUGCGGACAGUGCCUGGUGGGUAGUUUGACUGGGGCGGUCUCCUCCCAAAGAGUAACGGAGGAGCACGAAGGUGGGCUAAUCACGGUUGGACAUCGUGAGGUUAGUGCAAUGGCAUAAGCCCGCUUGACUGCGAGAAUGACAAUUCGAGCAGGUGCGAAAGCAGGUCAUAGUGAUCCGGUGGUUCUGAAUGGAAGGGCCAUCGCUCAACGGAUAAAAGGUACUCCGGGGAUAACAGGCUGAUACCGCCCAAGAGUUCAUAUCGACGGCGGUGUUUGGCACCUCGAUGUCGGCUCAUCACAUCCUGGGGCUGAAGUCGGUCCCAAGGGUAUGGCUGUUCGCCAUUUAAAGUGGUACGCGAGCUGGGUUUAGAACGUCGUGAGACAGUUCGGUCCCUAUCUGCCGUGGGCGUUGGAAGAUUGAAGGGGGCUGCUCCUAGUACGAGAGGACCGGAGUGGACGAACCUCUGGUGUUCGGGUUGUGUCGCCAGACGCAUUGCCCGGUAGCUAAGUUCGGAAUCGAUAACCGCUGAAAGCAUCUAAGCGGGAAGCGAGCCCUGAGAUGAGUCUUCCCUGAUACUUUAAGUAUCCUAAAGGGUUGUCGGAGACUACGACGUUGAUAGGUCAGGUGUGUAAGUGCUGUGAGGCAUUGAGCUAACUGAUACUAAUUGCCCGUGAGGCUUAACCAU
rnacentral:rRNA from 1 species